AGAAUUGAUCUGGUUCAGGACGAACGCUGGCGGCGUGCCUAACACAUGCAAGUCGAGCGGGGACAUACGACGGAUAAGAAGUUUCGGACGGAAUUGAAGAUGUAUGUUCUAGCGGCGGACGGGUGAGUAACGCGUGAGCAACCUGUCCUUCACAGGGGGAUAACACAGCGAAAGUUGUACUAAUACCGCAUAAGACCACGGGACCGCAUGGUUUUGAGGUCAAAGGAGCAAUCCGGUGAAGGGUGGGCUCGCGUCCGAUUAGAUAGUUGGUGAGGUAACGGCCCACCAAGUCGACGAUCGGUAGCCGACCUGAGAGGGUGAUCGGCCACAUUGGGACUGAGACACGGCCCAAACUCCUACGGGAGGCAGCAGUGGGGAAUAUUGGGCAAUGGGGGGAACCCUGAACCCCAGCAACGCCGCGUGAGGGAAGAAGGUUUUCGGAUCGUAAGCCUCUGUCCUUGGUGAAGAGGAAGAGACGGUAGCCAAGGAGGAAGCCCCGGCUAACUACGUGCCAGCAGCUGC
rnacentral:rRNA from 1 species